GCCCACACAAGAUAGGAGGAUUUUAGGAGAUAGAAUGAAUUAAGCUGUAAUAUUUCCAGCAUGGCUUGAGUGUAUUAAUCACUUGUUAAUUUUGGAAGCUGCUGAAUCAACACAACCUCCUCCACCUCUCAUUUUCAACUUCAAUAAGAUGCUGCGGGCCUUGGUGACAACAGAACUGUCCCCAGAACCGUUGACCCUGCCAACAAUAACAACCACUGAACUCAGUGUCUCCUGGGCACGGGCACAACUCUGCAUGGAUUCGUGGUAUUCUGGAUUUCCAAAAAUAUAUGUUGCGGUUUUUCAAAACCCUUUGUGGACAUCUCAUUCUCCAGAUUUUCCUUAAAAAAUUUUUUUUCAAGCUCUUGUUUUCCCUAUUAUGGCUGCCACAGCCACUGCAACGGUAAACAGUUAAAAGUGGUUUUCAACAAAUACAUAGGAUUGUUGGUGCUAAGUGAGUUCUGAGUCAAGUGAAAGGUAAGUCCUGAGAAUGGGGAUUUUCCAGGGAGCUGCCAGCAAGGUCAAAUAGCAAUAAUUCUCUGGGCAUCGAACUUUUGGGGGCUUUCCCAACCUGUUC